rnacentral:rRNA from 1 species
GGAAUAUUGGUCAAUGGGCGAGAGCCUGAACCAGCCAAGUAGCGUGCAGGAUGACGGCCCUAUGGGUUGUAAACUGCUUUUAUACAGGGAUAAAGUGACGUACGUGUACGUUUUUGUAGGUACUGUAUGAAUAAGGACCGGCUAAUUCCGUGCCAGCAGCCGCGGUAAUACGGAAGGUCCGGGCGUUAUCCGGAUUUAUUGGGUUUAAAGGGAGCGCAGGCUGAUUAUUAAGCGUGACGUGAAAUGUAGCCGCUCAACGGCUGAACUGCGUCGCGAACUGGUAGUCUUGAGUGAGUUCGACGCGGACGGAAGUCGUGGUGUAGCGGUGAAAUGCUUAGAUAUCACGAAGAACUCCGAUUGCGAAGGCAGCCAACAAGGCCUUUACUGACGCUAAAGCUCGAAGGUGCGGGUAUCGAACA